AUGGAACAAGACUUCCACUCCUUCACUAAGAAUGUUUGGAACAAUGCUUCUCAUAUUUCUUUUGCAGCAAAAUCUUCCUAUCUUGCAGGAUCUCUCAAAACUUGGUGCAGGAAGAAAAAACCACUUCAAAAUGAGCUUUCGGCUUUGGAGUCAAAAAUCAAUGAACUGCAACAACUUCCUCUUCAUCAGCAAAAUCAAGAUCUCCAAUGUUCUCUUACGGCAAGGUAUGAAUUAACGCUUUCUAAGAUUAAUCAAUAUUAUAAGCAAAGGAGUAAGAAGAAUUGGGUUUCUAAAGGUGAUCGUAAUACUAAAUUUUUUCAUCAGGCUGUUAUUAAGCGUAGGAAGAGAAAUACUAUCUGUUCUAUUAAGGAUGAACAUGACCUCAUUCACUGUAAUCCUAAUGCCAUUAUGCAAACCUUUGUGAACUACUUCAACUAUAUUUUUUCAUCCCCUAAUGCGAAUCAGGGGUACAAUCAUAACAAUGAUCCUACUUAUUCCAUUCCGGAUAACGCUGAAAUCUUGCAGAUUCUUAAAGAUAUGAAGCUUAAAGCUUCUCCUGGACCUGAUGGUUUCAAUGUUGAAUUUUAUUUAGCUACUUGGGACUGGAUUGGGGAAGAGGUAACUCAACUUGUUACUAAUUUUUAUCAAACAGCUACCCUUCCUUCUCAUAUUAAUAACACCAAUAUUGCUCUCAUUCCUAAGAAAUUGGUGCCCCUGCUUCCUACUGAUUACAGGCCU
rnacentral:rRNA from 1 species